rnacentral:snRNA from 1 species
AUGCUCCCUUCAGCAGCACUUAUACUAAAAUUGGAAUGAUACAGAGAAGAUUAGUAUGGCCCCUGCACAAGGCUGAUGUGCUUUAUACAAAAAAGAAAAAACAAAUUU